ACGCUCGACACCUACGGAGGCAGCAGUAGGGAAUCUUCCACAAUGGACGCAAGUCUGAUGGAGCAACGCCGCGUGAGUGAAGAAGGUUUUCGGAUCGUAAAGCUCUGUUGUUGGUGAAGAAGGAUAGAGGUAGUAACUGGCCUUUAUUUGACGGUAAUCAACCAGAAAGUCACGGCUAACUACGUGCCGGCAGCCGCGGUAAUCUGAGCGGGCUGGCAAGGC
rnacentral:rRNA from 1 species